CCCGCCCCUCACCAGGUACUUGUCGCGGUGCUUGGACUGCAGCACGUGAGCCAGCUCGCGCAGGUGGCCCCGGUGUCGCUGCUCGUCGGGCCGCGCGGGGAAGGCGGCGGCCAGGAUCCGCUCCGUCACGUAGACUCCAGGCCCAAUGUGGAGUCCAGUUCGGGGCCUGGACUCAACACCUCUGAGAUCGAGUCGGACGCUUCACCGACUGAGCCAGCCCGGCGCCCCUUUAUAGCUAGCUCUUCUAGAACCUCGUCCUUCCCAGAUGUCAUUAAGGUCUUUGACGAGGAGCCCGGGAGGCCUGCCGAAGGGGGUAGUAGGAGACCUGGCAGUGCUCGGAGGACCAAGGGCGGCUUAACCACAAGACACGUAUGCAGCACCAGGUGAGAGUGUGAGUGAGGAGAGAACAUGCGUACCUGUCUGGCUCCUUCCAGUGGUCUUUGUUCCCUCCGUCUCCUGGACCACGGCUGGAGUUCCCACUGUGGCCUUUUGGGACACUCACCCCAUCUACUUUGUUUUCAUCUGCUUGAGUGGAGAUGCCAAGAACAAAUGAAAAGCAGGUAAAAGAACCAGUCUCCUUCCUAGUUUCCCUUGAGCUGCAGAAAAGCGUGCCCCUGUGCAUCGAGGGAAACUCAGCCUCACCCCAACCCAGACUUCCCUCCCAAGCCCUUCUUCCCACGUUCCCCUCACCCCAAGUUAAGACCCACUAAAAAGUUCCACGGUAGGGUGAUGGAUCAUGAAGAGCAAACUGGAAAUGAAGGACUGUGACGCUCAGUAGUGACCUUGGCCUUACAGAUGGUGACAUUCUAAUCUGGACUGAGCAUGUGAAUUUCCUUCCGAUUCUUUUUUUUCCCUACCAAAGAAAUGUUCUACCAGGAAAGGGCAGGGCUGUGCUUUCUCCAAAGAGACCACUCCUGCCCUCUACUGGCAAAAAAAGGGUAGGUAACUUAAGAACCUUGAGCACAAAACAGGUGCAGGAGGACACGGGUUGUUUCUGGAGUCCUCUACAGGCUUUUCACUGAGGACUCCGGCUACUACGUGAAACACGGACUUCCUGUUGGUCUUACCUCUCCUUGCUGGUCCUUCCUCCGGGGGCUGAGCCGGGACUGCUUUCCCUCCACCACUAGAAGAAAAGCACAUAAUUACAUUCACUAGUCUUCGGGAAGGAACAGAUGAACUUCCAAUCGUUCACCAAACAGUCAACUUUACAGAGAACCAAAAAUAUAUACUUAACGUUGUAGGACACUGAAAUAUAGGAAAGACAACAAUGAAAGCGACUACUUGAUCACUCACUAAGUAGAAGUACCCUGUCCUUCAGAAUCAUCCUGAUCUUGCAGGGGGAGUAGGACUCUCUAUUUUACAAAUGAGAAUCCUAAGACCUAAGGAAGUAAUCUGACCCCUAAAAGCCAUGCCGCCGGAGGUGGCGGUGGCAGGUCUUGAAUACCAAUCUGCAGAUUUUGAGUAGCCAAAGUGAUGCCAACCAGUUAUCAAAACUCUAGAGAAUUGAACAAUGGCUUAAAUGAGCCCGCGGCAGCACAGCAGCACGCGCUGAAUGGGAGCUGAGAGCCAAGAAAGCAGAACUUAAAAGACACUACGUAAGACCAACAGUCAGGGCACUUUCCAGCAUGACAUCACAAGGUUUGAGAUUCUACAGCUAAGCAACGCUUGCACGCUGACUCACCUCGUGGGGGACUGUUGCUCUGUGUCCGAGCUCUGAGAUCGGGCAGGAGGGUUAGAACUUCGCUUCACCCAAGCAUUCUCCUUUGGUGGAGGGGCUGGCAUUACCUUCAGAGGCUGUUCAGAUUUGGGUGGCUUAGAAGUCGGAGAGUGACAGUCUUCCUCCUUAUUCGGUGUUUCAUUUUCUAGAGACUUCUCACUCUCUCUCCUUCGUGCAUCUGUGAAAUCAGAGUGGGAAGGUUACCUUAUCAGGAAAAGCAACGAUUUAUUAGGAUCUCAACAGAGUGGAAAAUGGUCCCCACCCAAAUUGACCUCUUUUCAUUAUUCUUAAAGACCUGGAUAUGGCUCCCAAUAGAUGAAAUUAUCCCUAAAUCAGUGGUUAUUAAUUAUCACUUUGAGGAAAUGUUUUAAUGAUUCAAGAAAAA